UACGUAGGGUGCGAGCGUUAAUCGGAAUUACUGGGCGUAAAGCGUACGCAGGCGGCUAGGUAAGACAGAUGUGAAAUCCCCGGGCUUAACCUGGGAACUGCAUUUGUGACUGCCUGGCUCGAGUCCGUUAGAGGGGGGUGGAAUUCCACGUGUAGCAGUGAAAUGCGUAGAGAUGUGGAGGAACACCGAUGGCGAAGGCAGCCCCCUGGGAUGAGACUGACGCUCAUGUACGAAAGCGUGGGGAGCAAACAGG
rnacentral:rRNA from 1 species